ACGCUCGACACCUACGGGAGCAGCAGUGGGGAAUAUUGGGCAAUGGGCGCAAGCCUGACCCAGCAACGCCGCGUGAAGGAAGAAGGCUUUCGGGUUGUAAACUUCUUUUGUCAGGGAACAGUAGAAGAGGGUACCUGACGAAUAAGUUCCGGCUAACUACGUGCCAACAGCCGCGGUAAUCUGAGCGGGCUGGCAAGGC
rnacentral:rRNA from 1 species